rnacentral:rRNA from 1 species
GUCGAGAAUCUUUCACAAUGGGGGCAACCCUGAUGGAGCGACGCCGCGUGGAGGAUAAGGUCUUCGGAUUGUAAACUCCUGUCAUGCGUGAACAAGGCUGCGAGGUUAAUAACUUUGCAGAUUGAUGGUAGCGCAAGAGGAAGAGACGGCUAACUCUGUGCCAGCAGCCGCGGUAAUACAGAGGUCUCAAGCGUUGUUCGGAAUCACUGGGCGUAAAGGGUGCGUAGGUGGCGUGGUAAGUCAGAUGUGAAAGCCUGGGGCUCAACCUCAGAAUUGCAUCCGAUACUGCUGUGCUAGAGUACUGGAGGGGUGACUAGAAUUCUCGGUGUAGCAGUGAAAUGCGUAGAUAUCGAGAGGAAUACCAAAGGCGUAGGCAGGUCACUGGACAGUUACUGACACUGAGGCACGAAGGCCAGGGGAGCGAACGGGAUUAGAUACCCCUGUAGUCC